rnacentral:rRNA from 1 species
UACAGAGGGUGCGAGCGUUGUUCGGAAUUAUUGGGCGUAAAGAGCGCGCAGGCGGUCGUUCAAGUCGCGUGUGAAAGCCCCCGGCUCAACUGGGGAGGGUCACGCGAUACUGAUCGACUCGAAGGCAGGAGAGGGUAGUGGAAUUCCCGGUGUAGUGGUGAAAUGCGUAGAUAUCGGGAGGAACACCAGUGGCGAAGGCGACUACCUGGCCUGUUCUUGACGCUGAGGCGCGAAAGCUAGGGGAGCAAACGGG